GUCUAUGGCCAUGCCACCCUGAACAAGCCCGAUGUCUGAUCUUGGAAGCUAACCAGGGUCAAGCCUGGUUAGUACUUGGAUAGGAGACCACCUAGGAAGACCAAAUGCUGUAGGCA
rnacentral:rRNA from 1 species